rnacentral:rRNA from 1 species
GACGAACGCUGGCGGCGUGCUUAACACAUGCAAGUCGAACGGAAAGGCCCUGCUUGCAGGGUACUCGAGUGGCGAACGGGUGAGUAACACGUGGGUGAUCUGCCCCGCACUUCGGGAUAAGCCUGGGAAACUGGGUCUAAUACCGGAUAGGAGCCAUUUUUAGCGGGAUGGUUGGAAAGUUUUUUCGGUGUAGGAUGAGCUCGCGGCCUAUCAGCUUGUUGGUGGGGUAAUGGCCUACCAAGGCGGCGACGGGUAGCCGGCCUGAGAGGGUGGACGGCCACCUUGGCACUGAGAUACGGCCCAGACGCCUACGGGAGGCAGCAGUGGGGAAGAUUGCACAAUGGGCGCCAGCCUGAUGCAGCGACGCCGCGUGGGGGAUGACGGCCUUCGGGUUGUAAACUCCUUUCGCUAGGGACGAAGCUUUUUGUGACGGUACCUAGAGAAGAAGCACCGGCUAACUACGUG